AGCAGGAAGAAACCCCAGGAGGAAGAAACCUCAGACAGAUCGCCGGGGAGGCAGCGCGGGAUCCCAGCCUCAGGCGUGCGCGGACGGUGUGCGGACAGAGUCUAGCUUUGUACCAGGCUGCAGUGCAGUAGUGCCAUCUCAGCUCACUGCAACCUCUGCCUCCUGGGUUCAAGCGAUUGUCCUGCCUCAGCCUCCCGAGUAGCUGGGAUUACAGGCACAUGCCACCACACCCAGCUAAUGUUUGUAUUUUUAGUAGAUACGGGGUUUCAUCAUGUUGCCCAGGAUGGUCUUAAUUUCCUGACCUCGUGAUCCGCCCAUCUCGGCCUCCCAAAAUGCUGGGAUUACAGGCAUGAGCCACCAGAACCGGACAUGCUUUCCUUAAAAGCUAAAUAUUUUAGGCUUGUGUGCCAUUAGGCUCUGUUACAACUACUUAAUUCUGCUUUUGUAAUUCUAUAGCACCCAUUGAUAAUACAUAAACAAAUGAGCAUGAAUGUGUCUCAGUAAAAAUUUGUUCACAUAAACAGGCAGUCCACCCAUGAAGCUAUAGCUUGCUGACCCCUUGUUUAAACAAUCAAUUGAAUUCAAACAGAAAUAAAAGGAUCUUAUAUAUUUAACCAUGUUGAUACCAUUUCCAGUGCUUUUCAUUCUUCUAUGUAGAUCCAAAUUUCCUUUUGAUAUUAUUUUACUUCUGCCUGAAACUUUUUCUUUAACAUUUUUUAUAGUGUUGUUUUACUGGUGAUGAUUUCUUUCAGGUUCUAAGUGCCUGAAAAAAUCUUUAUUUCACCUACAUCCUGAAAGAUAGUUUCUCUGAGUCUACAAUUCCCAGCUGACAAUGUUUAUCUUCCAGUACUUUAAAGAUGUUGCUUCAUUAUCUUCUAAUUUUCUUUGUUUCUAAUAAAAUGUUUGCUGGCAUUUUUUGUUCCUCUGUGCAAACUGUGUUUUUGUCAUUGGCCACUUUGAGAAUUUUUCUUUAUCACUAGUUUUAAGCAAUUUUAUUUUAGUGUAUUUUGUGCACAAGACAAGGAUGCCCUCUCUCACCACUCCUGUUCAACAUAGUAUUGGAAGUCCUUGCCAAAACAGUUAGGCAAGAGAAAGAAAUAAAGGGUACCCAAA
rnacentral:lncRNA from 1 species